rnacentral:rRNA from 1 species
AGGACAGAAAAACUAUAUGCUAACGUUGAGAAGUGCUCCUUUUGCACAAACAAGGUUGUUUUUCUUGGCUAUGUCGUUUCAGGACAGGGAAUUGAAGUGGAUGAAUCUAAGGUGGAAGCAAUCAAGAAUUGGCCAACUCCAAUGAAUGUAAGCCAGGUGAGAAGUUUUCAUGGCCUUGCUGGUUUCUACAGGAGGUUUGUGAAAGAUUUUAGUACAAUUGCUGCACCUUUGAAUGAAUUGACAAAGAAAGGAAUUCCCUUUAAAUGGGGUGCACCACAAGAAGAAGCAUUUCUUGAUCUUAAGAAACAAUUAACUAAAGCACCUUUGCUGAUUCUACCUGAUUUCACUAAAACUUUUGAGAUAGAAUGUAAUGCUAGUGGAAUAGGUAUUGGAGGUGUAUUAAUGCAAUAA